CCUACGGGCGGCUGCAGUGGGGAAUAUUGGACAAUGGGGGGAACCCUGAUCCAGCCAUGCCGCGUGUGUGAAGAAGGCCCUCGGGUUGUAAAGCACUUUCAGUGAGGAAGAACGCCUGGUGGUUAAUACCCAUCAGGAAAGACAUCACUCACAGAAGAAGCACCGGCUAACUCCGUGCCAGCAGCCGCGGUAAUACGGAGGGUGCGAGCGUUAAUCGGAAUUACUGGGCGUAAAGCGCGCGUAGGUGGCUUGAUAAGCCGGUUGUGAAAGCCCCGGGCUCAACCUGGGAAUGGCAUCCGGAACUGUCAAGCUAGAGUGCAGGAGAGGAAGGUAGAAUUCCCGGUGUAGCGGUGAAAUGCGUAGAGAUCGGGAGGAAUACCAGUGGCGAAGGCGGCCUUCUGGACUGACACUGACACUGAGGUGCGAAAGCGUGGGUAGCAAACAGGAUUAGAUACCCUGGUAGUC
rnacentral:rRNA from 1 species